rnacentral:rRNA from 1 species
GGUUUGAUUAUGGCUCAGAUUGAACGCUACGGAUGCUUUACACAUGCAAGUCGAACGGCAGCACGGACUUCGGUCUGGUGGCAGUGGCGAACGCAAGCAAAAGUUAUGAGAGAGGUGAUAGAGUAAUGGAACGUGCCUAGUAGCGGGGGAUAACUAUGCGAAAGCGCAGCUAAUACCGCAUACGCCCUUCGGGGGAAAGGGUAUCCUUUCGGGCCUCGCACUAUUAGAGCGGCUGAUAUCGGAUUAGCUAGUUGGUGGGGUAACGGCUCACUGAAGGCGACGAUCCGUAGCUGGUUUGAGAGGACGACCAGCCACACUGGGACUGAGACACGGCCCAGACUCCUACGGAGGCAGCAGUGGGGAAUUUUGGACAAUGGGGGAAACUGAUCCAGCCAUCCCGCGUGUGCGAUGAAGGCCUUCGGGUUGUAAAGCACUUUUGGCAGGAAAGAAACGGCACGGGAUAAUACCCCGUGCAACUGACGGUACCUUGCAGAAUAAGCACCGGCUAACUACGUGCCACAGCCGCGGUAAUACGUAGGGUGCAAGCGUUAAUCGGAAUUACUGGGCGUAAAGCGUGCGCAGGCGGUUCGGAAAGAAAGAUGUGAAAUCCCAGAGCUUAACUUUGGAACUGCAUUUUUAACUACCGAGUCAGGGAGUGUCAGGAGGGAGGGAAUUCCGCGUGUAGUAAAAUGCGUAGAUAUGCGGAGAGGAACACCGACGGCGAAGGCAGCCUCCUGGGAUAACACCGACGCUCAUGCACGAAAGCGGGGGAGCAAAAGCAGGACAGAUACCCUGGUAGUCCACGCCCUAAACGAUGUCAACUAGCUGUUGGGCCUUCGGGCCUCGCAGCGCAGCUAACGCGCUGACCGCCUGGGGAGUACGGUCGCAAGAUUAAAACUCAAAGGAAUUCGACGGGGACCCGCACAAGCGGUGGAUGAUGUGGAUUAAUUCGAUGCAACGCGAAAACCUUACCUACCCUUGACAUGUCUGGAACCUGAAGAGAUUUGGGAGUGCUCGCAAGAGAACCGGAACACAGGUGCUGCAUGGCUGUCGUCAGUCGCUGUGUCGUGAGAUGUUGGGUUAAGUCCUGCAACGAGCGCAACCCUUGUCAUUAUUGCUACGAAAGGGCACUUCAUCGAGAUCGCCAGUGACAAACCGAGGAAGGUGGGGAUGACGUCAAGUCCUCAUGGCCCUUAUGGGUAGGGCUUCACACGUCAUACAAUGGUCGGGACAGAGGGUCGCCAACCUGGCGAGGGGGAGCCAAUCCCAGAAACCCGAUCGUAGUCCGGAUCGCAGUCUGCAACUCGACUGCGUGAAGUCGGAAUCGCUAGUAAUCGCGGAUCAGCUAUAUGUCGCGAAUACGUUCGGCUUGUACACACCGCCCGUCACACCAUGGGAUGGUUUUACCAGAAGUAGUUGAACAACCGUAUGGAGGGCGAUUACCACGGUAGGAUCUUAUGACUGGGGUGAAGUCGUAAUAAGGU